GACGAACGCUGGCGGCGUGCUUAACACAUGCAAGUCGAACGAUGAAGCCGGAGCUUGCUCUGGUGAAUUAGUGGCGAACGGGUGAGUAACACGUGAGUAACCUGCCCUUGACUCUGGGAUAACUGCUAGAAAUGGUAGCUAAUACCGGAUACGACCCUCGGCGGCAUCGCCAGGGGGUGGAAAGAAUUUCGGUCAAGGAUGGACUCGCGGCCUAUCAGCUAGUUGGUGAGGUAACGGCUCACCAAGGCGACGACGGGUAGCCGGCCUGAGAGGGUGACCGGCCACAAUGAGAAUGAGACACGGCCCAGAGUCCUACGGGAGGCAACAGUGGGGAAUAUUGCACAAUGGGCGCAAGCCUGAUGCAGCAACGCCGCGUGAGGGAUGACGGCCUUCGGGUUGUAAACCUCUUUUAGUAGGGAAGAAGCGAAAGUGACGGUACCUGCAGAAAAAGCACCGGCUAACUACGUGCCAGCCGCCGCGGUAA
rnacentral:rRNA from 1 species